AUCUGGCUGGCUCAGUUAGUAGAGCAUGCAACUCUUGAUCUCAGGGUUGUGGGUUCAAUCCCCACAUUGGGUA
rfam:Felis catus isolate Cinnamon breed Abyssinian chromosome A1, whole genome shotgun sequence.